CAAGGAGAGUUCCUCUGGUUUUUCCACUAUGCAGUGGGCAACGCUCCUCCUCACGUUCCUCACUCAUUGCUCAGGUUCCUUUGCCCAGUAUGUGCUGACUCAACCACCAUUCGUGUCUGUGUCUCUGGAACAAAAUGCCCAGAUCACUUGUUCAGGGAACAGCAUUGAGAGCUACCUUGUGCACUGGUACCAGCAGAAACCCGGCAUGGCCCCACUCCUCAUUAUAUAUGCUGAUAGCAACAGGCCCACGGGGAUCUCAGACCGAUUCUCUGGCUCCAACUCUGGCAACACAGCCAGGCUAACCAUCGCAAGAGCCCAAGCGGAGGAUGAGGCUGCUUAUUACUGCCAGGUGUGGGACAGCAGUGCAGGGCAGCACACAGUGAUUCAGUCAGGGGAGGAAGCAAGACAAAAACCUCUCACCGAUUAUUACUGCCAGGUGUAG